rnacentral:rRNA from 1 species
AUUGAACGCUGGCGGCAUGCCUUACACAUGCAAGUCGAACGGCAGCACGGGAGCUUGCUCCUGGUGGCGGAGUGGCGAACGGGUGAGUAAAGCAUCGGAACGUGCCCUGAAGUGGGGGAUAACGUAGCGAAAGUUACGCUAAUACCGCAUAUUCUGUGAGCAGGAAAGCAGGGGAUCUUCGGACCUUGUGCUUUAGGAGCGGCCGAUGUCGGAUUAGCUAGUUGGUGAGGUAAAGGCUCACCAAGGCGACGAUCCGUAGCGGGUCUGAGAGGAUGAUCCGCCACACUGGGACUGAGACACGGCCCAGACUCCUACGGGAGGCAGCAGUGGGGAAUUUUGGACAAUGGGCGCAAGCCUGAUCCAGCCAUGCCGCGUGAGUGAAGAAGGCCUUCGGGUUGUAAAGCUCUUUCGGCGGGGAAGAAAUUGCACUCUCUAAUACAGGGUGUAGAUGACGGUACCCGCAUAAGAAGCACCGGCUAACUACGUG